rnacentral:rRNA from 1 species
GACGAACGCUGGCGGCGUGCUUAACACAUGCAAGUCGAACGGAAAGGCCCUGCUUUUGUGGGGUGCUCGAGUGGCGAACGGGUGAGUAACACGUGAGUAACCUGCCCUUGACUUUGGGAUAACUUCAGGAAACUGGGGCUAAUACCGGAUAGGAGCUCCUGCUGCAUGGUGGGGGUUGGAAAGUUUCGGCGGUUGGGGAUGGACUCGCGGCUUAUCAGCUUGUUGGUGGGGUAGUGGCUUACCAAGGCUUUGACGGGUAGCCGGCCUGAGAGGGUGACCGGCCACAUUGGGACUGAGAGACGGCCCAGACUCCUACGGGAGGCAGCGGUGGGGAAUAUUGCACAAUGGGCGGAAGCCUGAUGCAGCGACGCCGCGUGCGGGAGGACGGCCUUCGGGUUGUAAACCGCUUUCGCCUGGGACGAAGCGUGAGUGACGGUAAUGGGUAAAGAAGCACCGGCUAACUACGU